rnacentral:rRNA from 1 species
UACGUAGGGUGCAAGCGUUGUCCGGAUUUAUUGGGCGUAAAGAGCUCGUAGGCGGCCUGUUGCGUCCGCUGUGAAAGCCCGGGGCUUAACCCCGGGUCUGCAGUGGAUACGGGCAGGCUAGAGGUAGGUAGGGGAGAAUGGAAUUCCCGGUGUAGCGGUGAAAUGCGCAGAUAUCGGGAGGAACACCGGUGGCGAAGGCGGUUCUCUGGGCCUUACCUGACGCUGAGGAGCGAAAGCGUGGGGAGCGAACAGG